CAAAGCGACUCUUGAUCCCCUUCAGAGCAACUUAAAUUUAGUCCGCUGUCAAUCAGCGAGAGAAAGGCCGUCCACGCUGCAUUACCUAGCGAUAAUUAGGUGUUUUGGGACCAUGUGGGACAUUUAUAAAAGAUGGAGCAGCUUAUCCUCGGUGCCGUGUCGAUGUGAAUAGACCUGCUGCUUGUGCUUUUAUCAGACGGAACGCAAACGUGCGGGUUUCACCGCAAGGCUCCUAUGGACCAUUACAGGACUUUAGGUGCUGUAACAGGUGAAGAUUAAGGCAGGGCAAAUAAAGAUGCUGUGAAGCUGCUGACAUUAAAAUCGAUCGCUGUCAACACGCUGCCUUUCCUGUUACCACGAGAGACAUUGACGACUGUGGCUGGUGUUAAGACCUGCAGAUGAGAACAAGCGUCUCUGGUGUCCUGGAGGAAACAAGAGCUUCGAGCCCCACCAUAAAGCCAUGGCUGGCUGGAUCAGGAGUGUCGCACAGUGGUCAUAAAGAGGCUGGUCAUCCAAUGUCCGUGAUGUUAGCUGAAGCACUGAAGCAUCAAUGCUCCCACCCCUCGAGGCAUUGCUGCCCAUUAAAUCUGUGUCAAACUACACGAACCCAACACAUUUGCAGUGCAAAAUCAUGAGCGACAGCAGUUGUUUGCCUGAGAGGCUGAUCAAUGAGCCAACCACAGGUAUUAAGUUGCGUUCUAGUUGGUGUGUAACUGGGAUGUGAGAGGCACAAAGACACUGUACACCGAAUAUUAUUUCAGACUUUUAAGCCUCAAUGAGUCCAAGGUAUGUACAUUAUUACAAUGAUGUGAAAGCUGGUGGAGCCAAACAAUGUGUUUUGAUGCCAACUCUGAAUUAAAUGGCCUCCACUGAUGUAAAGGAGUCACUAUUACCUUCAGUCCUAAUGAGAAUCAACACUACUGUCUGAAGUUUUGUGCAACUUGUUUUGGCAUUUUAGACAGUUUGACAGGUCUUUUACUGCCUAGCAGAAUAUUCUCAUUUCUCAUAUUUUCCUGAAGAUGAGUUGAUAUGUAACUACACAGUUUUGACAAUAUUCAUUUCCUGAAAAGUGCAAGGAAAUGCAAUAUGACUGGUGUCACGUAAAGUGAUGAUUUAUAAAGGUCAUGUGCCAAUAGGUUUGGGACACACUGACUAGAUUUAGGGUUGCAUUAUCAGGAAAGAAACAAGUGAUGACGUGCUUUUGCUUCCAGCACCAAAAGUCACACACUCUGCCUGUUCACUGCACUACCUGAAUAGUGUGAACUGGCCAAAGUAUUUUUCUGAGGAGAUGAUGAACUAAAACCAGAGCAAAACCAAGUGACUAGUGGCUUUGAAGGAAUUCAAUGGGAUUCCCAGAUUACGCUGUUUCUGUUGGAAUACUCUAUAACAUAAACCAUUAGCAACCAAUGUCAAUAAUUGUUGUGUGGAGUUUGUUUUGGGUUCUCUUGGCCUCCUAGUGGUCAAAACAGCUCAGUGCAGCUUUAAGCUGUUAAUGUUUCUAAAAUUAACUUUUGCUUCAACAAACCUGUCCAUGUUUCAUGUUCUAGGCAGACUUUAAGUAUU